rnacentral:rRNA from 1 species
CAAUAGCGUAUAUUUAAGUUGUUGCAGUUAAAAAGCUCGUAGUUGGAUUUUGGGUCGGGGCGUCCGGUCCGCCGUUCCGGUGUGCGCUGGGCGCCCCUUCCUUUCUGCCGGGGACCGCCUGGGGCUUUAAGUAGCUCGAGGCGGGAGUCGGCGUUGUUACUUUGAAAAAAUUAGAGUGUUCAAAGCAAGCCAUCGCUCUGAAUACAUUAGCAUGGAAUAACAUGAUAGGACUCCGCUCUUAUUUUGUUGGUUUCCGAGACUGGAGUAAUGAUUAAGAGGGACAGUCGGGGGCAUCCGUAUUUCAUUGUCAGAGGUGAAAUUCUUGGAUUUAUGAAAGACGAACUUCUGCGAAAGCAUUUGCCAAGGAUGUUUNCAUUAA